GACGAACGCUGGCGGCGUGCUUAACACAUGCAAGUCGAACGAAGUGGCGAACGGGUGAGUAAUACGUGGGUAACCUGCCCUCCUUUUUGGGAUAAGCCUUGGAAACGGGGUCUAAUACCGAAUAAAGGGGGAUGGGCUCGCGGCCUAUCAGCUUGUUGGUGGGGUGAUGGCCUACCAAGGCGGUGACGGGUAGCCGGCCUGAGAGGGUGACCGGCCACAUGAGGGCUGAGAUGCGGGGCAGACGCCGACGGGAGGCAGCAGGGGGGGAUAUUGGCAAAGGGGCGAAAGCCUGAUGCAGGGACGCGGCGGGGGGGGUGGAGGCUUUCGGGUUGGUAACCUGUUUCGCUAUCGGACAGGUAGGUGGAGAAGAAGCGCCGGAUAACUACGUGCCAGCAGCCGCGGUAAUAC
rnacentral:rRNA from 1 species